UCCCUGGUGGUCUAGUGGUUAAGACUCUGUGCUCCCCAUGCAGGGGCCCAGGUUUGAUCCUUGAUCAGGGAA
rnacentral:tRNA from 1 species